GACACUUAUGUUGGACAUGUGAUUUUCCACACAAGAGAGCGGGAUGAGGGUGAAUUAUAUGGUCCCAAAAAACAUAGUUUUGAAAACAUUGCAUAUUAAAAUCAAAGUUGAAAGACAUGUUGAAAAUAAUUGAGUAUUGAGCAGAGAAAAAAUAAAAUGCAACAUAUAUAUUGCAGAACGUAAAGAGUUAAGGGAAAGAGAUGAACACCAAGAUGUAUAGAGGUUUAAA
rnacentral:lncRNA from 1 species